UUGUGCCAGCAGCCGCGGUAAUUCCAGCUCCAAUAGUGUAUAUUAAAGUUGUUGCAGUUAAAAACCUCGUAGUUGGAUUUCUCAAGAGAACUCAUUCAUUUGUAAAGAUGAAAGGCCAUUCUCUUGAUCAUUCUGCAGAAGAUUCAGAUAUUCAGUUAUCUGUUUCUGACUCAGAUAUUUACUUUGACAAAAUUAGAGUGUUUCAGGCAGGCUUGGCCGGAAUACGUUAGCAUGGAAUAAUAAAAUAUGACUUUUGCUUAUUUUUUGGUUUGGAGCAGAAGUAAUGGUUAAUAGGAACAGUUGGGGGCAUUAGUAUUUAGUAGUCAGAGGUGGAAUUCUUGGAUUUAUUAAAAACUAACAAGUGCGAAAGCAUUUGCCAAGAAUGUUUUCGUUAAUCAAGAAGGAAAGUUAGGGGAUCAAAGACGCUCGGAUACCGUUGUAGUCCUAACCAUAAACUAUACCGACUAGGGAUUGGAGGAGGAGAGGAAACUCCUUCAGGACCUUACGAGAAAUCAAAGUCUUUGGGUUCUGGGAGGAGUAUGGUCGCAAGGCUGAAACUUAAAGGAAUUGACGGAAGGGCACACAAGGAGUGGAGCUUGCGGCUUAAUUCGACUCAACACGGGGAACCUUACCAGGUCCAGACAUAGCAAGGAUUGACAGAAUAAAGUUCUUUCUUGAUUCUACGAGUGGUGGUGCAUGGCCGUUUCCAGUUAGUGGAGUGAUUUGUCUGGUUAAUUCCGAUAACUAACGAGACCUUACCCUUUAAUUACUGAUGCAACCAUCAAUUUCAUCACUCUUAAAGGGACAACCUCUGGAAAGAGAAGGAAUAUUAAGGCAAAAACAGGUCUGUGAUGCCCA
rnacentral:rRNA from 1 species